rnacentral:rRNA from 1 species
AGGAAUAUUGGUCAAUGGACGAGAGUCUGAACCAGCCAAGUAGCGUGAAGGAUGACUGCCCUAUGGGUUGUAAACUUCUUUUAUACGGGAAUAAAGUGAGCCACGUGUGGCUUUUUGUAUGUACCGUAUGAAUAAGGAUCGGCUAACUCCGUGCCAGCAGCCGCGGUAAUACGGAGGAUCCGAGCGUUAUCCGGAUUUAUUGGGUUUAAAGGGAGCGUAGGCGGGUUGUUAAGUCAGUUGUGAAAGUUUGCGGCUCAACCGUAAAAUUGCAAUUGAUACUGGCAGUCUUGAGUACAGUUGAGGUAGGCGGAAUUCGUGGUGUAGCGGUGAAAUGCUUAGAUAUCACGAAGAACUCCGAUUGCGAAGGCAGCUUACUAACCUGUAACUGACAUUGAUGCUCGAAAGUGUGGGUAUCAAACAGGAUUAGAUACCCUGGUAGUCCACACGGUAAACGAUGAAUACUCGCUGUAGGCGAUAUACGGUCUGCGGCCAAGCGAAAGCAUUAAGUAUUCCACCUGGGGAGUACGCCGGCAACGGUGAAACUCAAAGGAAUUGACGGGGGCCCGCACAAGCGGAGGAACAUGUGGUUUAAUUCGAUGAUACGCGAGGAACCUUACCCGGGCUUAAAUUGCAACCGAAUAUGGCGGAAACGCUAUAGCUAGCAAUAGCGGUUGUGAAGGUGCUGCAUGGUCGUCGUCAGCUCGUGCCGUGAGGUGUCGGCUUAAGUGCCAUAACGAGCGCAACCCUUGCCGAUAGUUACUAACAGGUUAUGCUGAGGACUCUGUCGGGACUGCCAUCGUAAGAUGUGAGGAAGGUGGGGAUGACGUCAAAUCAGCACGGCCCUUACGUCCGGGGCUACACACGUGUUACAAUGGGGGGUACAGAGGGCUGCUACCACGCAAGUGGAUGCCAAUCCCAAAAACCUCUCUCAGUUCGGAUUGAAGUCUGCAACCCGACUUCAUGAAGCUGGAUUCGCUAGUAAUCGCGCAUCAGCCACGGCGCGGUGAAUACGUUCCCG